rnacentral:rRNA from 1 species
UUUCGACGGUAAGGUAUUGGCUUACCGUGGCAGUGACGGUUAACGGGGGAUUAGGGUUCAAUUCCGGAGAGGGAGCCUGAGAAACGGCUACCACAUCUAAGGAAGGCAGCAGGCGCGCAAAUUACCCAAUUCUAACAGCAUAAGAGAGGUAGUGACAAGAAAUAACAGUACAAGGCAGUUAAAAUGCUUUGUAAUUGGAAUGAUAGAAAUUUAAAUACUUUUUAAAGUAUCAAUUGGAGGGCAAGUCUGGUGCCAGCAGCCGCGGUAAUUCCAGCUCCAAUAGCGUAUAUUAAAAUUGUUGCAGUUAAAAAGCUCGUAGUUGAAUUUUUGCUAAAAAUAACCGGUCUGCUUUUAUUAAUAAAAGUGGUAUCUUGGUGUGUUUUUAGCAAUAAUGUCCUUUGAAAUGUUUUUUACUUUAUUGUAAAAAACAAUUUUCAGGAUUUUUACUUUGAGAAAAUUAGAGUGUUUCAAGCAGGCUAACGUUUUGAAUACUGCAGCAUGGAAUAAUAAAAUAGGAUUUUAGUUCUACGUUAUUGGUUUUAAGAACUAAAUUAAUGAUUGAUAGGAGCAGUUGGGGGCAUUUGUAUUUAACUGUCAGAGGUGA